GAUGGCAGAAACGACCAAGAGAACGCACAUUUUAAGUUUGGAACAGACGAGUCCACUGUAGAAUCUUUGUAUUCUAAAGAUUUCCUUCUGGCUUCUCAAAAACCCAGAAGUCGACCCAAUUUUUAUAAAACACCGUCCUCUGGCAAGAUUAUACAGAAUGACCCGAUAUUUUCUAAAUUUGGUGAAUCACAGAACAGCACCGAUUUCUACAGAAAACCAGUUGAACAACGAAUUCAAGCUAAUGGUAAAACUGAAGCUGAUAAUAAUAUGGCUAGACGACAUGGUAGAAACGUUACUCUUACAUCAAAAGAUAAAAUUAACCCUAAUGAUAUGCUCGUCUC